rnacentral:rRNA from 1 species
AGAAUCAACGCUGGCGGCGUGCCUAACACAUGCAAGUCGCACGAGAAAGGGGAGCAAUCCCUGAGUAAAGUGGCGCACGGGUGAGUAACACGUGAAUGAUCUACCUCCGAGUGGGGAAUAACUGAGAGAAAUCUUGGCUAAUACCGCAUAGCACUUACGAGUCAAAGCAGCAAUGCGCUUGGAGAGGAGUUCGCGGCCGAUUAGCUAGUUGGCGGGGUAAUGGCCCACCAAGGCGAUGAUCGGUA